AUGGCUUCCAUGGGGUUCAGCUAUGCGCAGAUACAUGUGCGGCAGGAGAAGAUCCGGCAGAGGAUCAACCAACAAGAAGCCGCCAAGAAGACGACCGUGAAGAGUAUCGGUGAAGGAGAUAAGAUCAAGAAGAAAAACUGCGACUCAUGGACCGCCGCCGGCAGGGUGCAUCCGUGCGCGUCUUCCACGGCCGCGGCGGCGGCUACGGCUAGGCCGGUGCCAGAGAGGUGA
rnacentral:rRNA from 1 species